GAUGAACGCUGGCGGCGUGCCUAAUACAUGCCAGUCGAGCGAACGGACGAGAAGCUUGCUUUUCUGAUGUUAGCGGCGGACGGGUGAGUAACACGUGGAUAACCUACCUAUAAGACUGGGAUAACUUCGGGAAACCGGAGCUAAUACCGGAUAAUAUUUUGAACCGCAUGGUUCAAAAGUGAAGGACGGUCUUGCUGUCACUUAUAGAUGGAUCCGCGCUGCAUUAGCUAGUUGGUAAGGUAACGGCUUACCAAGGCAACGAUGCAUAGCCGACCUGAGAGGGUGAUCGGCCACACUGGAACUGAGACACGGUCCAGACUCCUACGGGAGGCAGCAGUAGGGAAUCUUCCGCAAUGGGCGAAAGCCUGACGGAGCAACGCCGCGUGAGUGAUGAAGGUCUUCGGAUCGUAAAACUCUGUUAUUAGGGAAGAACAUAUGUGUAAGUAACUGUGCACAUCUUGACGGUACCUAAUCAGAAAGCCACGGCUAACUACGUG
rnacentral:rRNA from 1 species